rnacentral:tRNA from 1 species
CGGGGUGUAGCUCAGUUGGUAGAGCGCGUGGUUUGGGACCAUGAGGUCGCAGGUUCGGGUCCUGUCACUCCGACCA